rnacentral:rRNA from 1 species
UACGAAGGGGGCUAGCGUUGCUCGGAAUCACUGGGCGUAAAGCGCACGUAGGCGGAUCGCUAAGUCAGGGGUGAAAUCCUGGAGCUCAACUCCAGAACUGCCUUUGAUACUGAAGAUCUUGAGUUCGGGAGAGGUGAGUGGAACUGCGAGUGUAGAGGUGAAAUUCGUAGAUAUUCGCAAGAACACCAGUGGCGAAGGCGGCUCACUGGCCCGAUACUGACGCUGAGGCACGAAAGCGUGGGGAGCAAACAGG